rnacentral:rRNA from 1 species
AGAGUUUGAUCAUGGCUCAGAUUGAACGCUGGCGGCAUGCUUUACACAUGCAAGUCGAGGGGCAGCAUGAUUGAAGCUUGCUUCAAUUGAUGGCGACCGGCGCACGGGUGAGUAACGCGUAUCCAACCUUCCGUACACUCAGGGAUAGCCUUUCGAAAGAAAGAUUAAUACCUGAUGGUAUGAUGAGAUUGCAUGAUAGCAUCAUUAAAGAUUUAUCGGUGUACGAUGGGGAUGCGUUCCAUUAGGUAGUAGGCGGGGUAACGGCCCACCUAGCCUACGAUGGAUAGGGGUUCUGAGAGGAAGGUCCCCCANAUUGGAACUGAGACACGGUCCAAACUCCUACGGGAGCA